GGUGUUAUGCACAUGUGUACAACAUUAAUGCAUCGGAUCCCAUCAAAACUCUAUAGUUAAGUGCGCUUGGUCUAGAGUAGUACUGGGAUUGGUGACAUCUCGAGAAUUCCUAGUGUUUUACAUUC
rfam:Picea glauca, whole genome shotgun sequence.